UAGUCCAAGAGAUCGGGAUAACACCUGGAAACAGAUGCUAAUACCGGAUAACAACAGAUGAUGCCUAUCAACUGUUUAAAAGAUGGUUCUGCUAUCACUCUUGGAUGGACCUGCGGUGCAUUAGCUAGUUGGUAGGGUAACGGCCUACCAAGGCGAUGAUGCAUAGCCGAGUUGAGAGACUGAUCGGCCACAUUGGGACUGAGACACGGCCCAAACUCCUACGGGAGGCAGCAGGC
rnacentral:rRNA from 1 species